AAUGAGAGGCUUAAACAAUAAUACAAUUUGAACACGGAAGACUGCGUUGCACUGAAGACCGCAAGACUGCAACAAUGGGCAACAAUUUGCCACAAAUCCGUAAUUUACAUAUAGUUGACAUAUAGUUGACGGUUUUAUUUAUGUUAGAUCAUUUUAACACAUUCAUUACUACAUAAAUCUUUGUAAUCAAUGGACCAGUGAAGUUUAAACUUGGACUGCAAACCCUACCACACUCAGAAGACGAGCACAUCGUUGUCGUGAGAAGGACCUCUCCAACCGAUCAUUAGAUACGCACCGAGUUCCACAAGACCUACACAAUGGUUUCUAAGGCAUUUCUAGGGAUGAUUUUUAUCGCCACUUUGAUCUUUGCAGUAUCGGCAGAUACAUACAACACAAUUCGAAUGAUCGGCAUCUGUAAUGCUCUACCUGGCAUGUGGAAGCGCUUGUGUAUGCUGAGGGUGUUAGAAAUUCUUGGGGUCGACCUCCCCGGACCUGACAUUGUCCUGCCUAACAUUCUGGAAAACCUUCUAGAAGGAUAAACCUCGUGCAUGAUUUCGCUUGUCGAUAAAUGUUGGAUGACCCCGCCUUUUGGAACGUCUGUGAAACAUUGUUCGUAAUGGAUAUCUUGCCCGUUCAUUUUUCAUUUUUAUUUUCAAAACGAACGUGAAAAGUGCAGUUUAGUGUAAACAGUCAUUUGAGAAUCAUUCAAAAUUUGUUUGAUUUCUUUGGAAGCUUAAUAUCUUGCAGAUGUAUAUGAAAUAAAUAUUUGUUCAUAAAAGCA